CUUCUCGGGCCUUGGAAAGCAAGUCCUGUGGUGACAUGACACCUCAGAAAGAACUGUGUCGGACUCAUUUCAAAAACAGCCUCAUAAACACCUGGGACAGAGGGCAUGAGAUUGACUGAAGGAACCAAUGUGGGAAGCAGAGGGGAGCAUCUCAGAAGGGGUGCAGAAGGAGGCAUCACUAAGGGCAGAAAUCUCUAAUUAUAUAAGAGGAUAUAAAAGACAGCAACUCACAGACAUCAGAUGCAUAUUCUGUAGGUCUACACAACAGAUGGUGGUGUCUGGCAGUGUCUUUUCUUUUAAACAGAAAAAUAUUGUUAUAAAAAUAUUCAGAAUACAUUUUUAGUUACUUAACCAAAUGUGUGGAUGAAUUACUGGGAAAUGAAA